UGGGGAAUAUUGCGCAAUGGGGGAAACCCUGACGCAGCGACGCCGCGUGUGGGAUGAAGGUCUUCGGAUUGUAAACCACUGUCGCGAGGGACGAAGCUCUGACGGUACCUCGAAAGGAAGCACCGGCUAACUCUGUGCCAGCGGCCGCGGUAAUACAGAGGGUGCGAGCGUUGUCCGGAAUCACUGGGCGUAAAGGGCGCGUAGGCGGCCCGGUAAGUAGGGGGUGAAAUCUCAUGGCUCAACUGUGAGGCUGCCUUCUAGACUGCCAGGCUUGAGCACAGUAGAGGCGAGUGGAAUUCCCGGUGUAGCGGUGGAAUGCGUAGAGAUCGGGAAGAACAUCGGUGGCGAAGGCGGCUCGCUGGGCUGUUGCUGACGCUGAGGCGCGAAAGCGUGGGGAGCAAACAGGAUUAGAUACCCAUGUAGUCCCUGAGCGGGCUGGCAAGGCGCAU
rnacentral:rRNA from 1 species